rnacentral:RNase_P_RNA from 1 species
CGAGGGGGACGGACGGUCGCCGCUGUGUUUCGAUGCAGGGGAGGAAAGUCCGAGCACCUCAUGAAUCAGAGUGCCUGUUAACGGCAGGGCGGGGCGACCCGACAGAAAGUGCAACAGAAAAUAAACCGCCUUUCGUUUCGGCGAUCGGUAAGGAUGAAACGGUGCGGUAAGAGCGCACCGCUCGAAUGGCGACAUUCGGGGCAAGGUAAACCUCACUCGGUGCAAGACCAAAUAGGGAAGCUAUGACCGGAUUCGGGGAGCUUCCGGGUUGGUUGCUUGAGCCUGUAGGCAACUGCAGGCCUAGAUGGAUGACCGUCGCUGGUUUCGCUUUAUUGCGGAGUUAGUACAGGACUCGGCUUAUAGUCCGCCUCGCGGC